rnacentral:rRNA from 1 species
UACGUAGGGUGCAAGCGUUUAAUCGGAAUUGCUGGGCGUAAAGCGUGCGCAGGCGGUUGUGCAAGACAGAUGUGAAAUCCCCGGGCUCAACCUGGGAAUUGCAUUUGUGACUGCACGGCUAGGAGUGUGUCAGAGGGGGGUAGAAUUCCACGUGUAGCAGUGAAAUGCGUAGAGAUGUGGAGGAAUACCGAUGGCGAAGG